rnacentral:sRNA from 1 species
GCUCAGUGGGCGUCGCGCGAAGGCUAAGGGAGUGUGGCGGGCGGCUCCGGGAACCAACAUGCCUCGGUAUGCGCAGCUGGUCAUGGGCCCCGCGGGCAGCGGGAAGAGCACCUACUGUGCCACCAUGGUCCAGCACUGUGAAGCCCUCAACCGGUCUGUCCAAGUUGUAAACCUGGAUCCAGCAGCAGAACACUUCAACUACUCCGUGAUGGCUGGUAAGUCCUGAGCAGAGGCUCCCCCCACCUUCAGGAACAGUAAGGGCUGGGGAGGCAGUGAGUACUAGCUGCUUAGCACAGAUUGUUAUUAUAGUCUGGAUCCCUGGUUUUAUGGUAAAUAGCAUGAGCUUGUCAUUUGGUCACAUCUGUUCAUGGUGAUAUGUGUGACAGUAUCCUUGCUUGGUCUUUGAUGUAAGAUUUAAAAGUAAAUGGGGCCGGGUGCAGAGGCUCACGCCUGUAAUCCCAGCACUUUGGGAGGCCGAGGCGGGUGGAUCACGAGGUCAGGAGUUCGAGACCAGCCUGACCAACAUGAUGAAACCCUGUCU